rnacentral:lncRNA from 1 species
UUAAAAAAUUUAUUGACUUUAUUUUGAGACCUAUGAUAUGUCUAUCUUGCAGACUGUUUCAUGUACUAAUGAGAACGUUCUGGUAGUGACAAAUUCCCUCAGAAUUUUUCUUGUCUGAAAAAGACUUUAUUUCUUCUUCAUUUAUGAAACAUAGUUUUUCUGGAUACAAAAUUCUUGGCUGACAGUUACUCCAUUUAAGGAGGCUAAAGAUAGGCUCUGGGUGCUUUCAAGGGUGAAGACUCUGCAUGAGUUUCCUGUUUAUAGAGAGUCUUUAUGAUGGCUUCAUCAGAUGUUGGUUGUAGUAACAAUAUGCUCAGUGUGUGACAAGAUUCGCUGUCUCCUGUGGGGUAGAAUGGCAGAGAUCUCUUGAAGCUUAUCUCAUUCCUCAGUGUGUGCAGUUAUUUAUUUAU